rnacentral:lncRNA from 1 species
CUUCUACCCGAACCCCCCCUCCCCCCCCAAGCAGAGAGACCCCAGCAGCAGCAGCAGCUGAUGAUGAAGAGAGAGGCAGUGGCAGAGGGGGGGCACCUUUUAUUUCUAUUUUUAAAGGGACAGGACACUAAUUUUACCCCACUUCAACCUUGAAUUGAGGGGGGUGGGGGGAAGGCGGCUGAGUUCCUUCCCCCACCCUCCAGCCCGGAGCCCUGAGAGGGGGAUUGAGCCUGAGAGAGAAGGAGAAGGAGUUUCUUCCUCUUCGAAAACCUCCAUCCACGACUCCUACCCCCUCACCCCUCCACUCGCUUCCCUCCCGAGCCCCCUCCACCCUCCUUCUCUUUGGCCGUGAGAGGAGGAGAGAAAGAGACCAAAAGCCUCUUAGCAACACAGACCCUUUGCUGUUGCUGCUGCUGCUGCUGUGGCUGCUGCUGUUGCUACUGCUGCUACUGCUGCUUGGCCCUGGCUGGAGACAUCUCACUACACCCAGGAGCAGCCACUUCCCCAGCUCUCCUCCUCCUCCUUCGCCUCCUCCUCCUUCACUCCCCCCCUUUAUUACCCUUUGUGUCAUCCUCCACAGCUCCAGGGAAGGCACUCAAAAGUGGGGGGCAGGAAAGACAAUUAUCAACUUGCCAGUUUUCUAUGGAUAUGAAGAUUUACUCCUAGUCUUCAAUGGGACCCCAUGAAGUCAGCCAGAAAGCCUUUGUCCAACUUAUGUACCUUUGCAAACUUGUCUGGAUUUUGAAUGUAUGUGCAAAACAGAUUGUACUUAGCUAUUCAUUAAACAUCUAUGKAGCAUCUGCUGUCUGUCAGGCACUGUGCUAGGCAUGUGAACAAACAAGAAUGGUCCCUGCAAUUUAAUGUAAAGAGAUUUCUUAAUUGUAUUCCACAAGUGUAUUGGUCAUAUAUUUACUUUGGUUUACCUAAAUGAAUUUUAUAUUAACUAAAUGAAUAUUGUUAGGUAGAAUAAUGCAUGUUUAAGAAGGAUAUUGCUGUAUUUUAUUAAUAUAGAAAAGAUAAAUUUUUUUUCACUUAAUUCUGUAUUCUACGGAUUUCUAUUCUGUUUAUAGUUCAUUCAUUUAACACAAUGAAAAUAGUGUAUGUGACAACCAUUGCUGGAUUUUUAUUGCUAAGUAUAAUUAUUUUUUUGAAGAUGACCAAAUUAAUGAAGAUGACUUCAUUAAUUUCCCUCUCCUUACUAAAAAUAGACAAAAUAUUCAAAUUCUCCAAACUUAUUUUUUUCCCCAAAUACUUUUUUCUAUCUACAUCUCUUAUAACUGGAUAUCUUUCAUGCUUAUUAGGAAAUCAUUGUGUAAUAUCAUUCUGAGUUUUUAGACAUUUCUACCAAAUUUCAAGCAAACCUAACGAUAURAUUUCAUUAUUAUCCAGUGAUUAAUAUCUACUUUUUAUUAGUUUUAGAAUUUUAGCAUAUGCUGGAUAUAUUAUUUCAAGAUCUUUGUGAGAAACUUCCCAGUUUUAAUUCUAAAACACUUAUUAUAUUUAAUCUUGCUUCUAAAGCUCUAGUUAAGAAAGUUGGAAGUUUCUGAAAUAUAAGGGAGUUUCAAAGCCAAAAACGUCCUAUCUCAGUAUCUUUUGUAGCUUUCAUAUGUGACUGAAAAGUAUUAGAGGUUAAAAACUGCAUUCACUUCACCUUCCUUAAUGUAGUUUUAGAAUAUUGUUGAUUCAGUAUUGGAAAAAAUCAAGGGACUUAACUCUGCUGGUACACAUCUCAAGAAGAUAAAUAGACUCCUGAAUGGUAAAUUCUGGUAUCUUCCACUAAGCCAUGUAUGCCCCCAUCCCUUUUUAAAAAGAAAAAAAAAAUUYAUUUAGAGACAGGGUCUCACUGAGUUGCUUAGGGCCUCACUAAGUUGCUGAGACUGGCUUUGAACUCGUGAUGCUCCUGCCUCAGCCUCCCAAGCUGCUGGGAUUACAGGCAGGCAUCACCGUGUCCAGCUUAUAUUUAUUCUUAAAUUUCUAUCUUAGUAAUAAUCAUAACUUUCAUUUAUUUUCACUGUGCAGCACUGUUAAUUCGAUUUUUGUCAUUUCUUAUAGUUUUCCUUGUGAACUUUGCUUAAUUCUGGUUACAAAUGAGGAAACUAAUUACUAACCAAACAUCAUUUUAUCAUUUUGUAGCACCAAAAUAUUUAUAUUAGACUUCAGACACAUUCUAAUUCAAAACACACUCAGGAUAAAGAAUUUUUGUCAGUCUAUACUUCAAUAAAGCAUUACUAAAAUCAUGGCUCUGAUAGCUU